rnacentral:rRNA from 1 species
CGGAGGGUGCAAGCGUUAUCCGGAUUCACUGGGUUUAAAGGGUGCGUAGGUGGCUUUGUAAAGUCAGUGGUGAAAUCUCGGAGCUUAACUCCGCAACUGCCAUUGAUACUGCUUGGCUUGAAUCAAGUAGAGGUGGAUGGAAUAUUACAUGUAGCGGUGAAAUGCUUAGAUAUGUAAUAGAACACCGAUUGCGAAGGCAGUUCACUAUGCUUGUAUUGACACUGAGGCACGAAAGCGUGGGGAUCAAACAGGAUUAGAUACCCUGGUAGUCCACGCCCUAAACGAUGUAAACUCGACAUUAGCGAUAUACAGUUAGUGUCCAAGCGAAAGCGUUAAGUUUACCGCCUGGGAAGGUACGUCCGCAAGGAUG